rnacentral:tRNA from 1 species
GGCAAGGUGGCCGAGCGGUCCAAGGCGCCACGUUAAGGUAUAUCCUUAAUCUCAACUCCUCUCAUCAGGAGGCAGUUCCGUGGUCUCGAAAGGGGCGUGAGUUCGAAUCUCACCCUUGUCA